UGCUGCAUGGCUGUCGUCAGCUCGUGUCGUGAGAUGUUGGUUAAGUCCCGCAACGAGCGCAACCCUUGUCUUUAGUUGCCAUCAUUUAGUUGGGCACUCUAAAGAGACUGCCGGUGUCAAACCGGAGGAAGGUGGGGAUGACGUCAAGUCCUCAUGGCCUUUAUGACCAGGGCUACACACGUACUACAAUGGCCGGUACAAAGGGCAGCCACUUAGCGAUAAGGAGCCAAUCCCGUAAAGCCGGUCUCAGUCCGGAUUGGAGUCUGCAACUCGACCCCAUGAAGUUGGAAUCGCUAGUAAUCGCAGAUCAGCACGCUGCGGUGAAUACGUUCCCGGGCCUU
rnacentral:rRNA from 1 species